GAAAAUUUCGUGAUUGAUCUCGACAAUUCUCGCAUCCGAAAUGGACUUGACAAAUGGCUUGCAGCUCAAUUUCGAGAACAUAAAAAUCGCAUGCACAUGUAUUUUAAAUCUUUCGGAGAUGAUGUAGAGAGGGCUAGGAGAAAGCCUUAUAGAAAUGUUUGUCCUGGGGAUUGGCAAGCUAUAUGUAAAAAUUUCAUGACCCCGACAUUCCAGAAUAGGAGCACUAUCAAUAAAGCAAACAAGGCAAAGAAUCUAACAAAUCACCGUGGUGGCUCAAAGCCAUUUGUCACAUUUCGUUAUGAAAUGGUUAUUUCCUAUGUUCUAUUAUUUUUUAUAAUUAUAUAAAUUUACAAAUGUAAAAUUAAUAAUAUUUGGUUAUGAUUAUCUUAACUGAAAUAGCGAAACAUGGAGACAGAAGAAGAACCAGACAUGGUGACAUUUUAUCACUGAACACACUGUAGGGAGGAUGGGACACGGGUUUGUAAGAUUAUUUAUUUAAUUGUGGCUCACAUGAUUUGGACAUGUGACAUAUUACUUGGUGGCUAAGUAAAUAGAUAUCAAUUAAUUAUUCUUGGUCAACUUAUAAUUACCUUUUUGGUAAUUACUUAUUGGAGAAGUGUUUUCCUUCUAAUUCCUUACUUUGAUGGAAAGUAGAAUUAUGUUACUAAAAGGAAAACUGGUCAUCUCUCUGCCUUUAUAAAAGUAUAUAUACUCCAUCAAUUAUGUACGAUUAUUAAAACAACACGUAAAAGGUUAUUGUGUGCAAAAGACUAAGAGAGAGAAACCAGUUUCUGCCUUUGCUGUUGAUCAGAGUUGCAGAUUGGUUCGUGGUUAAAGGAUCUGAAUGUUGGAUUUAAUCUCAACAAGGUUUGAUAUGAUGAAUAGAGGUAUGUAUAUCUAACUAUAUUUAUUUAUGCGUUAUAAGGAUGUGAAAUUAAUUGAAGUUCUAAGAUCUAGGUUUUACGAUAAUUUGUGAUUAAAGUCUAACACAAAUUUAAUUAGAGUUUACAUGUGGUAUCAGAGCCCGUAGUUUUAGAACUAAUUAUUUUCUAUUAUUCUUGCAUAAAUAAUAUGUGUGAGUUUAAAUUAAAAUUAAAUAAUUUAAUAAUUUAAAUUUAUAUAUUGGGACACUGUUUUAAUAGAGAUCCGCCUGCUAGAUCAAUUUUGUUUUUUUAAUUGGUGUACCCGUUUGUGACUAAGUGACGAAUCUGUUUAAUGUGAUCAGUUUGUCUCUUGAUAUUGUUUCAUAAAGUAAUCAAUAUCUCUUAUUCAGAUUUGUUGACUUAUUAUAAUAUGCCUCAAUAUCCGAACCUUAUUGCUUUGUUUUUUUUUUGGUUAAAAAAACCUUAUUGCUUUGUUGAUGGUUAUAUAAACAUAAUGAGGAUGGUGUGACAAAGCUGCAAUAAUUUCGUGCAUAUGAUGACAGAAGUUGAAGUUGUAUAUUUAACAUAUAUAUUAUAUGUAUUUGUUGAAAGUUUGAAAAGAAUCUGGGUGAUUGUAUUAUAUAUAUAUACACACAUAUCAUAAUGAGACAAAAAAAACAAAUCAAAAGUGAAUUUUUUUUUUAGCAUGUGUGUACCAAGUGUCCUUGUCUCCUGUUGGGUAAUGCAUGUUAAGUUUACUAUCACAACGUCAAAGCAAAAGAGAUUGUUUUUUUUUUUUUUUUGCUAUUUCGUGCAUGAUCGAUUUACUGACAUAUUUGAUUAUUAUUCCGCUGCAUAAAUUGAGGUUGUGAAUUAUAAUGAUGUUUUAUACCUGAUUAAAUAUAUGUUUAUUAAUAUAUAUUACAGUACAUAUAUUUAUGAAGUUUUUGGACACCCACUAGUAGUUUAAUUAAUUGACUUUGUAAAUUUUAUGUGUAUAAUGUGGUGGGUAACUUAAUGUUGAUUUUAUCACUAGAUAAUUAAAUAUUCAUAUUAUAGAAAGGUUGAUAGCUAUUAAAGUGGUCUAACCAUAAUGAUUAAUGGAUAUUAAUAUUAGUGGUAGACAUAAUUACAAUAUUUUAUGAAUAAUGAUGCUUAUAAUUUUUUUUGUAAAAUUCAUGAAUAUUGGGUUUAUUCAAUUAUUAGAAAUAAUUCCUCAAAGGGAAUUAAUUUUCAAGUGAUUAAAUAAACAUUAAGGGGUUGUAUGUAAUUUUUUAAUUGGGUAGAUAUAGGAUAUCUAAAGGUAACUUAUCUAUUUAAUUAAUUAGUGCACCAAUGAAGUUAUAUAUAAAUAAAUACAUUUAAGCAUCAUUUUUUUAUAUUUUGUGGUUACUAUCCAAAGGAGUACCAUAGUUGUACAAUGUAUUUAUUUAUUUUUAUAUGUGUUGUUAUCUCAAAGUAUUAAUGUUAUGAGCAUUUACCUUAUUAUGAUUAUUUUAUUGCAGUAUCUUUUCCUGUUUCAGUGAAUUCACAUGCUUCAUCUGUUCCAAUUCUCAAUGGGACUAACUUCUCAGAAUGUUGGAAUGCUAGGCAGAUACCAAAGCAAUUCAGGAAUGCAUCACUGGAAAGCUGCAAAGAAAGUUAUGAGAUACUUACAAGGAACAAAGAAUUAUAUGCUCACAUUUAGAAAGACUGGUGAGUUAGAGGUUAUUGGUUACUCAAACUCAAAUUUUGCUGGAUGUGUGGAUAGUAGAAGAUCCAUUUUUAGUUAUUUGUUCCUUUUAGCUGGAGGGGCAAUAUCAUGGAAAAGCGCAAAACAGUCUAUUAUUGCUUCAUCAACUAUGGAGGCUGAAUUUGUAGCAUGCUUUGAGGCUACAAAUAUAGUUUGUGGUUGCGGAACUUUAUUUCGGGAUUUGGUGUUAUGGAUUCAAUUUCCAGACCGCUGAAAAUUUAUUGUGAUAACACCGCAGCUGUUUUCUUUACUAAAAACGAUAAGUAUUCCAAUAGCGUUAAGCAUAUGGAGCUGAAAUAUCUUACCGUUAAAGAAGAAGUUCAGAAACAAUGAGUGUCUUUUGAAAAUAUAAGCACACAGCUUAUGGUUGCAGAUCCAUUGACAAAAGGAUUACCACCCAAGACAUUCAUAAGGCAUGUUGAAAGAAUGGGUAUUGAAUGUAAUCAAAGUUAAUUAUUAUUUUUGUUGUGGAUUGCUUAACAAUGCUUAUAUAUAUUUGUCAUUUUGAGCUCAUUAAAAUCUGUUUCUGAUAUUUCCUGUUAAUUUAUGUAUGUACAUGCUUGUAUUACUUUAAAUGAUGAAAACAAGAAUAGUCUUAGAAAAGACAUUAUUGCUAGACCUUUAUUGAUGCUUCUCACUUAUAGACUAUGUUAAAUGGGUUGCUAGUGUUGUGGUACAUGGAAGGGACUAUGUCGUUUAGUGACAUACAACCGCUAUGACUCACAUUGGUAGUUUGUUUACCAUGGUAUUUAUGAUGACCAUAUUAAUAUCUUAAUUUGAUUUAUUGUGCAUACUAAUGACUAUUUUACUAAACCACUACAGAAGUUAUCAUAUGUGCCAAGUGGGAGAAUGUAAGAUUAUUUAUUUAAUUGUGGCCCACAUGAUUUAGACAUGUGACAUAUUACUUGGUGACUAAGUAAAUAGAUAUUAAUUAAUUAUUCUUGGUCAACUUAUAAUUACCUUUUUUGGUAAUUACUUAUUGGAGAAAUGUUUUCUUUCUAAUUCCUCACUUUGAUGGAAAGUAGAAUUAUGUUACUAAAAGGAAAAUUGGUCCUCUUUCUGCCUUUAUAAAAGUGCAUAUACUCCAUCAAUUAUGUACGAUUAUUGAAACAACAUGUAAAAGGUUAUUGUGUGCAAAAGGCCAAGAGAGAGAAACUAGUUUCCGUCUUUGCUGUUGAUCAGAGUUGCAGAUUGGUUCGUAGUUAAAGGAUCUGGAUGUUGGAUUUAAUCUCAACAAGGUUUGAUAUCAUGAAUAGAGGUAUGUAUAUCUAACUAUAUUUAUUUAUGCGUUAUAUGGAUGUGAAAUUAAUUGAAGUUCUAAGAUCUAGGGUUUUAUGAUAAUUUGUGAUUAAAGCCUAACACAAAUUUAAUUAGAGUUUACAGGGUUACCCAACAUUGUCAGGGUCUCUAUGUAUGUAUACGCAUAACUGGUAAAUUUUAGUUUAUUAUUUUGUAUUUAUUAAUUACUUACGUACCAAUUUGUAUAGAUAUGCAGGAUAAAAUGAUUCAAAAGGUCAAUCAACAAGAAAAUUCAGAUAGUGUAUCCAAUUCCUUUACACAGUUGACCCGUAACGAGAUUUACUUUCAAAUAGUUGGUUCAACCUUGUCAUAUGUUCGUGGGCUUGGUCAUGGGGAAAUGUCCACUGUCUCUUUACGGGGAAGUCGUGAAGAUGUUGUUGAUGCUAGGCGUAGUGCCGAUGAAGUAAAUCGAAGGGCUGAUGAGGCAAAUCAAAGGGCUGAGGAGGCAAAUCAAAGGGCUGAAGAGGCAACACAAAGGGCUGAAGAGGCAAAUCGAAGGGCUGAGGCAACAGAACAGCGAUUGGGGGAUCAAAUCAACUUGUCCAAAGUAACAGAAGAGAGAAUGGGGGACCAAAUAAGCUCUUUGCAGGCUCAACUCACAUCUUUAACAGCAUUGGUGCAACAAGCUCUAGGGGACUCAUCAACUAGGGAGGCUUAUCAUCUUGCUUAGUCCAUUAACUAUAUUUUUUGUUUCAUAUGGGCUCAGGAUAAACUCACUUUUGUACUUUUGGUUCUUACAUGGGAUUGGAUUUAUGGAUCUCCCAUCUUCCCAUUGUUGGCAGAUUGUAGGUAGCUGGGCUUAUUAGCUUUUUGACAUCUUUUUGUUGUAGACCCAGUGACUAUUUUUUUGUUUCAUUGGGCUCAAAACAAACUCACUUUUGUACUUUUGGUUCUUACAAGGGAUUGUAUUUAUCGAUCUCCCAUCUCCCCAUUGUUGGCAGGUUACAUGUAGAGGUAUUAGUUUUUGUUAUUGUCCCAUUGAUUAUGUUUUUUGUUUCAUAUGGGCUUAGGAAAAAUUCACUUUUGGAUCUCCCAAUAUUGUUGGAUAUAGGUUUAAUCAUUCUCUAUGUAUAUGAAUUUCGUCUUGAUCCCAUAUUUAGAAUAUGUAUGGAUGAUUGGAUAUAUGAAAUAGUAUUUUACCUUUUCAUUUGUAAAA